GGCUCUGUAGCUCAGUUGGUAGAGCGUCGGACUGAAAAUCCGUGCGUCAGCGGUUCAAAUCCGCUUGGAGCCA
rnacentral:tRNA from 1 species